ensembl:lncRNA
UCGUAAUGCUUUAAGAGCCAAACAAAAUAAUGCCAGAACAGUCAAAAUAUCCUGACUGCUAUUCUGUGAUCCACUGAAAGACGAUUUCUAUUAUGAAAAGGGAAUUUGUUUUUUAAAGGGGGGGUGAAAUGCUCGUUUUCACUCAAUAUCCUGUUAAUCUUGAGAACCUAUAGAGUAGUACUGCAUCCUUCAUAACUCCAAAAAGUCUUUAUUUUUAUUAUAUUUAUAAGAGAAAGAUAGUCUGUACCGUUUUUUCCCGGAAAAACACGAGCGCCUGUAGGCGUGACGUGUGGGCGGAGCUAAAGAAUCACGAGCGCCAGUAGGCUUUUGCGUUGAGAGCGUGUGGAAGCUGUGACACAGAUCCCUAGGCUGAAAUUUAACAAGAGCAGCAUCAGCAAAGGCGUCUCUAUGUGGUAUGUACUGAAACUGUAUAUAUUUGCUUAGCGGUUUUGGAAAAUGACUAAGUUCCACUUUAUGUCGUCUUUUUUUUUUUUUAAGCUGUACAUGUGGAAAGUGCAGUUUGAUGACAACAUCGUUGUUUACUUGAUGUGCUUACGCGCCGAUAGCUAAGUUAACAACACAGAGAUAUUUGAAGCAGUUUUACUCACCGCCUGCGGUUCCAACACACGAUUGUGACCCUUUUUCGUUGGGACUGCAUUAUCCUUAAGAAAUAAACGAUACGCAAAUCCGGCGUCAAACUGGACCUUGUUUGUAAAACAAGCAUCUUCGAAAUGCAGGGAACAAACAAAAACACUUGCACAACUCCGUUGAUGCUCUGUAAAAAUAAACUCCAUCCACUGGUCCCUUAAUGCUGUUUCUCUUUUGGUAAUCUGUGCAGGGUUGUCUUGCCCUGGCAACCAAAAACACACUCCUUUUGUGACAUUUCGCGACGCUCUCGCUCUGAUCAGUGAAUCGCUCUGAUCAGUGAAAUGAGUGUGCUCAGCCUCGCUGUACGGGAGCGCGCGCUCUUCCGGCAGAAGUGCCUCAGGACCCAUAUAAGGAAAUUCCGCUCCAUCUAACGUCACACAGAGCCAUACUCGAAAAAAACUUUCCGAAACUUGUGACAAACCGGAAGGAGUAUUUUUGGAACAGAAAUACUCCUUCAAACGUACAACUUAAUUUUUGAAACUUUGUCCAUGUUUAGCAUGGGAAUCCAACUCUUUAACAGUGUAAAAAACUCAGUAUGCAUGAAAUAGCAUUUCACCCCCCCUUUAAAGGCACAAUCACCCUGUAAAGUAACAUCAAGUCCACAAUGGUAAUGUGUUCAGUGCCCUGAGCUUUAACCCCAACAGUCUUCUAGUCAUUUCUGUCAUGUAAACACUCUACAGGCCCUGGUUCCUGAAACUGUUCUCCUUCCCAGCCCAGGAAACACUGAAACAUAAAGCUGGCUGUGAAUACACUUGUUUCCCCUUCAACUGUGCUGAACCUCCCGUGGGCUACAUAAGAUGUAUCCCUGCUAACAGGCUCUGACAGCUUCCUUUGGGAACGAUGGACCAUUCAGCUUGGUCCAGAUGCUGGUAGUCCGUGCCGCUCGGGUUUCUCCUGAGACACCGGCCCUUGGACGAGCACACGGUCUGGCUGCAGAAAAACACCGCCUCUGUCACGUUA